UACGAAGGGGGCGAGCGUUGUUCGGAAUUACUGGGCGUAAAGGGCGCGUAGGCGGCCCCUUUUGUCGCGUGUGAAAGCCCUGGGCUCAACCUGGGAGGUGCGCGCGAAACGGGGGGGCUUGAGUUCGGGAGAGGAGCGUGGAAUUCCCAGUGUAGAGGUGAAAUUCGUAGAUAUUGGGAAGAACACCGGUGGCGAAGGCGGCGCUCUGGACCGAGACUGACGCUGAGGCGCGAAAGCGUGGGGAGCAAACAGG
rnacentral:rRNA from 1 species